rnacentral:rRNA from 1 species
GAUCCUGGCUCAGGAUGAACGCUAGCUACAGGCUUAACACAUGCAAGUCGAGGGGAAACGACAUCGAAAGCUUGCUUUUGAUGGGCGUCGACCGGCGCACGGGUGAGUAACGCGUAUCCAACCUGCCGAUAACUCGGGGAUAACCCUUCGAAAGAAGGCCUAAUACCCGAUGGCAUAUCCCUUCCGCCUGGUGGGGAUAUUAAAGAACUUCGGUUAUCGAUGGGGAUGCGUUCCAUUAGCUUGUUGGCGGGGUAACGG